rfam:Salmo salar isolate Sally breed double haploid chromosome ssa04, whole genome shotgun sequence.
UGCAUUCACUACUGUAAGUUGCUCUGUAUAAGAGCAUCUGCUAAAUGUAAAAUG